rnacentral:rRNA from 1 species
GUGCCAGCAGCCGCGGUAAUACAGAGAGUGCAAACGUUGUUCGGAAUUACUGGGCUUAAAGCGCACGUAGGCGGCGCCGCAAGUGUGGGGUGAAAGCCCACGGCUUACCCGUGGAAUUGCCUGGCAGACUGCGGUGCUAGAGGAUGGUAGGGGAGAGCGGAACUCCUGGUGGAGCGGUGAAAUGCGUAGAUAUCAGGAGGAACACCGGUGGCGAAGGCGGCUCUCUGGUCCAUGACUGACGCUGAGGUGCGAAAGCUAGGGGAGCAAACGGGAUUAGAAACCCCCGUAGUCC